UACGUAGGGUGCGAGCGUUAAUCGGAAUUACUGGGCGUAAAGCGUGCGCAGGCGGUUCGUUGUGUCGGUGGUGAAAGCCCCGGGCUUAACCUGGGAAUGGCCAUGGAAACUGGCGAACUGGAGUGUGGCAGAGGGGGGUGGAAUUCCGCGUGUAGCAGUGAAAUGCGCAGAUAUCAGGAGGAACACCAGCGGCGAAGGCGGCGCUCUGGGCCGGUACUGACACUGAGGAGCGAAAGCGUGGGUAGCAAACAGG
rnacentral:rRNA from 1 species